ACGUCGGUGGUGCAACGGUCAGUUCAGCACACGCUCCUAAGAAGGGUGAGGUCUGGGUUCGAAUCCCGGUUGACGCU